GGGGGCAGCUGUUUCCAGCUGCGAAGAGAAAGACUCCCCGCCAGCAACGCUGCAAAGAGAGCAGGAGGCGAGGGAGGAGGGAAGGAAAGAGGAAUAGGGAAGAAAGGGGGGAGGGAGGGAGAUCCUCGAGGGCUAAGCACCCCUCAGGGAGAAACCGCGGGAGGUGAGCGCUGGGGAUACACGGGGUCCCAAGAGCGGGCGCUCUUUCUCUUCCCGCUUGCUUUCUGGCACGAGACGGGCACAGUUGGUGAUUAUUUAGGGAAUCCUAAAUCUGGAAUGACUCAGUAGUUUAAAUAAGCCCCCUCAAAAGGCAGCGAUGCCGAAGGUGUCCUCUCCAGCUCGGCGCCCACACGUCUUUAUCUGGAGCUCCCCACCAUGGUCCGCCCGGGGCCGCCGCACCGAGCCUAUCUCCGCACAGGCUCAGAGGGAGCGAAGGAAGGAGGGGGCACCCUGGCGGGCUACGGAUCAGGUCAUCGCUGCGCUGCCCCAGCUCCCCAGGUUCGCGCCGCCCGGCAGUCGACAGCUCACAGGCAGCAGAUCAGAUGGGGAUUACCGCUGGACGCAAGGCCGAUCACUUAGUCCCGCGCGGCCCAUCCCGGCCGAGGAAGGAAGUGACCAGCGCGCUGCGAACACCGCGCGUCCGCUCGGGCGGGGCGGGGGUAGGCUGUGGGCGACGUCGGCUCGAGGUGGCUGCGGCUCAAUGCUGGAGCUGCCCACCAUGGUCUGGCGCCGGGGGCGCAGUUGGGGCCCCUAGGCCACCCCAGGCGAUGGAGGCAGGUGGCCCAGAGCGCAACCCAGGCCUCGGGGCUGGACGCAGACUCUGGGGCCAGGGCCAAGAGGCAGAUGCGGGCUGCCGCCAACUCGCCCAACUUGCUGUGCGGGUGGCCGUUCAGAGCCUCGUGCUAGCAGGGCGCCCCCUGCCGCAGCGCCUUUGCAGCCCCUGGCCCUGGAAGGGGCUCUCAGGGCCGAGUCCCAUUCAUGGGCUCAGACUCUGGGAGCGCGGAGCCAUACCGGCUCCUGGGCGCCACUGCCUCCUCCCAGCCAGCUCGCCCGGCUGGAGCGCUAGCUCCGCAGGAAACUCCAGGUAGUGCUGCUUGCAAAACAUCUGGUGCAGCAUGCCAAGAAAACAUGGGAGCUGAAAGGCGAGACACUAAUCUUGCCUCAGGAUCUUCUCCAGGAGAUACCUGAUGUUGCCUGUCAGCCCUAAGCUACAAUGGAGUCAAACCCCUUUCCUCAAGCACCAAACAUCAUUUUGAAGAAAACUUGUAAGCCAGAGAAAUGAAGGAAUAGACAAUGACAUGCAUUAUCUUGAGGACUCCAACACAAAUGGGGGCUGAAUGGGGAAAUUGCGUGGAUCUCUCUAACAAAGGCAAAUACUGCCUUUACCACCCACAAUGAAACUCAGAGACAAGCUUUCUACUUACAGAGAAAUCAAGAGUCUGGAUAGAGAAACCUUGGCAGCACCUAUAAGCAGUGAGUAGUAGGGGAAACUUUUCAAUAUAAGGUUUGUAUCAGGUUGAUUUUCUUAAAAGUCAAAAGAGAAAGGAGCUGAUUACAUCUUAGCUAAAGGGGAGAAGCAAAAUAGCUUGGUUCCCUGAUGGUAAAGCUCCAUUAAAAAGAAAAAGUAUGAAGGACAAUUUUAAAAGUGUAUACCACUUUAUUCCUAUAUUUCUAUUGUGACUAUGUCUGGAAAACAAAUGAAAAAGAAGACACUGUAUAUACACCAUUCUACCUCCUAUAGUCAAAAAUGACAGGGGAAAGUGACAAAUCAGUUCAAAAUACAAAACCUGCUGAAAGGAAAACAAAUCUGCUAGAAUCACAGAACCCGGGGUUGGGAAGCCACACUGUCCAACUCCUCAGCAAAUAAAAAGCAUUCCUUGAAAAUCCUCACUGAUGGACCAUCACAACCAGCCUAAGACCUCUCCAUCUUUGGUCAGCUAUGGCUUAUAAAUAUGUCCUUGUAAUACUGAGAAAGUGGAUCUCCCUUAGCCCUAGUUCCACCAUUUGGGUGACUCAGAAUUAUUCUAGCACCUCUUUCACAGGGCUGCCUUUCAGAUUUUUGCAGAGAGCAAUGUUAUCCUUUCUGUUUCUUCUUGUCUCUGUUAACCAAAAUUUCUUAGUUCCUUCAGCAGUUCCUCAGAGAAUCAAUCUGGCCUCUCCCAACUGAAUGCACUCUGGUUUUAAAUACCUUUCUUAAUUUUAACAUCUCUAUCACCUCUAAAUAGGUUAGGCCUGAGUCCCAGUUAAUUUCAACUCAUUAAAAAA